UGGUACUUUUAUAAUUUUUCAGAAUUCCUUUGCAAGAUAUGAACGAACCAGACAGGAUGAUGCAACCUAUUGAUGCUGUAAUUGAUCUUACUGAGACUGAUGCCCAUAGCUACAAAGCAAAAAGCCCACAAAACAAG
rnacentral:lncRNA from 1 species